rnacentral:rRNA from 1 species
UGCAGCCGAGCGGUAUUUGUCUUUCGGGACAGAGAGAGCGGCGUACGGGUGCGGAACACGUGUGCAACCUACCUUUAUCAGGGGGAUAGCCUUUCGAAAGGAAGAUUAAUACCCCAUAAUAUAUUGAUUGGCAUCAGUUAAUAUUGAAAACUCCGGUGGAUAGAGAUGGGCACGCGCAAGAUUAGAUAGUUGGUAGGGUAACGGCCUACCAAGUCAGUGAUCUUUAGGGGGCCUGAGAGGGUGAUCCCCCACACUGGUACUGAGACACGGACCAGACUCCUACGGGAGGCAGCAGUGAGGAAUAUUGGACAAUGGGUGAGAGCCUGAUCCAGCCAUCCCGCGUGAAGGACGACGGCCCUAUGGGUUGUAAACUUCUUUUGUAUAGGGAUAAACCUACUCUCGUGAGAGUAGCUGAAGGUACUAUACGAAUAAGCACCGGCUAACUCCGUGCCAGCAGCCGCGGUAAUACGGAGGGUGCAAGCGUUAUCCGGAUUUAUUGGGUUUAAAGGGUCCGUAGGCGGAUCUGUAAGUCAGUGGUGAAAUCUCAUAGCUUAACUAUGAAACUGCCAUUGAUACUGCAGGUCUUGAGUAAAGUAGAAGUGGCUGGAAUAAGUAGUGUAGCGGUGAAAUGCAUAGAUAUUACUUAGAACACCAAUUGCGAAGGCAGGUCACUAUGUUUUAACUGACGCUGAUGGACGAAAGCGUGGGGAGCGAACAGGAUUAGAUACCCUGGUAGUCCACGCCGUAAACGAUGCUAACUCGUUUUUGGGCUUUAGGGUUCAGAGACUAAGCGAAAGUGAUAAGUUAGCCACCUGGGGGAGUACGUUCGCAAGAAUGAAACUCAAAGGAAUUGACGGGGGCCCGCACAAGCGGUGGAUUAUGUGGUUUAAUUCGAUGAUACGCGAGGAACCUUACCAAGGCUUAAAUGGGAAUUGACAGGUUUAGAA